rnacentral:lncRNA from 1 species
UAGGAUAGAGGCACUCUCCAUUCCUGAUUGUUCCAAGGCUCAAGUGGUCAGAAAUGACUGGGAAGAAGGGAGAAAAACUCAGGUGGCAAAGGACAUGGACGAAAACCCAUGGCGACAUGGAAAGAAAACCCUGUGAUAUAGAGAGGAAAAGCACAGGACAGCUUAUUGGGGAGAAUGGAACUCUUCUGUAUCCUGAUUGCGGUGAUGGCCACGCAUGGCUUAGAGACGGGCUUUCACCACGUUGACUAAGCUAGUCUUGAACUCGUGACCUCAGGUGAUCCACCUGCCUCAGCCUCGCUAAGUCUAAGUAU